GAUGAACGCUAGCGGCAGGCCUAACACAUGCAAGUCGAGGGGCAACGAGAUGGUGCAAUACCAUUGUCGGCGACCGGCGAACGGGUGCGUAACGCGUGAACAACUUGCCGGACACAGGGGGAUAAUCGUCGGAAACGUCGUCUAAUAUCCCAUAACAUUGACAUGGGCAUCCAUGUUGAUUGAAAGCAAUUAUGCGGUGUCUGAUAGGUUCGCGUGACAUUAGCUAGUCGGUGGGGCAACGGCCCACCGAGGCGACGAUGUCUAGGGGUUCUGAGAGGAAGGCCCCCCACACUGGGACUGAGACACGGCCCAGACUCCUACGGGAGGCAGCAGUGAGGGAUAUUGGACAAUGGGCGGAAGCCUGAUCCAGCCAUGCCGCGUGAAGGACUAAGGCCCUAUGGGUCGUAAACUUCUUUUGACGCAGAGCAAUAAGGGACACGUGUGUUCCGAUGAGAGUAUGC
rnacentral:rRNA from 1 species